AAUUACAUAAAAUCUCCUAUCAAUACCCGCUUUUUCACUUUCUCCCAUGUCAUUUAAAAUUCUAUACUUUGCCUCAUUGUAAAAUGAAAAAUGCUCUCAGGGGAUUUGGUGUUAACUUAUAAUGACAAAAUAACCAAUUUGCCCUUCAACACGCGGCAAUGAGGAUAUUUUUGGUAUAAAAAAAUAUAUAAUAAUAUUUUAUAAAUGGAAUCCUAACGGAGCAUUAACGGCAGGGAAUGAAGUGAAAAAUUUUCAUUUUACAAGGGGGCAAAGUGUAGGUUUUUAAAUAACAGGGAAAAAAGUGAAAAAAAACGGAUAUUGAUAGGGGGUUUUAUGUAAUUUAGCCUAAAAAAAUUUUAAUAAUUGGGUUAUAUUAUUA
rnacentral:lncRNA from 1 species